GUGGGGAAUAUUGGACAAUGGGCGCAAGCCUGAUCCAGCCAUGCCGCGUGAGUGAUGAAGGCCUUAGGGUUGUAAAGCUCUUUCACCGAUGAAGAUAAUGACGGUAGUCGGAGAAGAAGCCCCGGCUAACUUCGUGCCAGCAGCCGCGGUAAUACGAAGGGGGCUAGCGUUGUUCGGAUUUACUGGGCGUAAAGCGCACGUAGGCGGUUUGUUAAGUCAGGGGUGAAAUCCCGGAGCUCAACUCCGGAACUGCCUUUGAUACUGGCAAGCUAGAGUCCGGAAGAGGUAAGUGGAACUCCGAGUGUAGAGGUGAAAUUCGUAGAUAUUCGGAGGAACACCAGUGGCGAAGGCGGCUUACUGGUCCAUUACUGACGCUGAGGUGCGAAAGCGUGGGGAGCAAACAGGAUUAGAAACCCGGGUAGUCC
rnacentral:rRNA from 1 species